AACGCUAGCUACAGGCUUAACACAUGCAAGUCGAGGGGCAGCAUGGUCUUAGCUUGCUAAGGCCGAUGGCGACCGGCGCACGGGUGAGUAAUACGUAUCCAACCUGCCGUCUACUCUUGGACAGCCUUCUGAAAGGAAGAUUAAUACAAGAUGGCAUCAUGAGUCCACAUGUUCACAUGAUUAAAGGUAUUCCGGUAGACGAUGGGGAUGCGUUCCAUUAGAUAGUAGGCGGGGUAACGGCCCACCUAGUCUUCGAUGGAUAGGGGUUCUGAGAGGAAGGUCCCCCACAUUGGAACUGAGACACGGUCCAAACUCCUACGGGAGGCAGCAGUGAGGAAUAUUGGUCAAUGGGCGAGAGCCUGAACCAGCCAAGUAGCGUGAAGGAUGACUGCCCUAUGGGUUGUAAACUUCUUUUAUAAAGGAAUAAAGUCGGGUAUGCAUACCCGUUUGCAUGUACUUUAUGAAUAAGGAUCGGCUAACUCCGUGCCAGCAGCCGCGGUAAUACGGAGGAUCCGAGCGUUAUCCGGAUUUAUUGGGUUUAAAGGGAGCGUAGAUGGAUGUUUAAGUCAGUUGUGAAAGUUUGCGGCUCAACCGUAAAAUUGCAGUUGAUACUGGAUAUCUUGAGUGCAGUUGAGGCAGGCGGAAUUCGUGGUGUAGCGGUGAAAUGCUUAGAUAUCACGAAGAACUCCGAUUGCGAAGGCAGCCUGCUAAGCUGCAACUGACAUUGAGGCUCGAAAGUGUGGGUAUCAAACAGGAUUAGAUACCCUGGUAGUCCACACGGUAAACGAUGAAUACUCGCUGUUUGCGAUAUACUGCAAGCGGCCAAGCGAAAGCGUUAAGUAUUCCACCUGGGGAGUACGCCGGCAACGGUGAAACUCAAAGGAAUUGACGGGGGCCCGCACAAGCGGAGGAACAUGUGGUUUAAUUCGAUGAUACGCGAGGAACCUUACCCGGGCUUAAAUUGCAGAUGAAUUACGGUGAAAGCCGUAAGCCGCAAGGCAUCUGUGAAGGUGCUGCAUGGUUGUCGUCAGCUCGUGCCGUGAGGUGUCGGCUUAAGUGCCAUAACGAGCGCAACCCUUGUUGUCAGUUACUAACAGGUUCUGCUGAGGACUCUGACAAGACUGCCAUCGUAAGAUGUGAGGAAGGUGGGGAUGACGUCAAAUCAGCACGGCCCUUACGUCCGGGGCUACACACGUGUUACAAUGGGGGGUACAGAGGGCCGCUACCACGCGAGUGGAUGCCAAUCCCAAAAACCUCUCUCAGUUCGGACUGGAGUCUGCAACCCGACUCCACGAAGCUGGAUUCGCUAGUAAUCGCGCAUCAGCCACGGCGCGGUGAAUACGUUCCCGGGCCUUGUACACACCGCCCGUCAAGCCAUGGGAGCCGGGGGUACCUGAAGUGCGUAACCGCGAGGAGCGCCCUAGGGUAAAACUGGUGACUGGGGC
rnacentral:rRNA from 1 species